CAGCUUUAACUACAAUUUGGUCACCAUUGUCCUUUGUCCUACUGAGAAGUCUAUCAGAAACAGUGGAAGAGCUGACUUUAACACAAAGAGCUAACUUUCACACAAACCACCUGUCAGCAUCUUCAGAUGUCUUCCCCAAUCCCAUUCUUAUAGCUGUCUCUCGGUCAUUCCAUGAGGUGACACAUGCCCUCAAGCUGGUGGUGUGGACAAAUAGAAUAGGCUGGAUUGACUGCCCUACAGUCAAGCUCUCCAAAAAUGAGGACCAGACUCAAUUAUUCAGACAGAACCCAGAACUCUAAGGUGUAUCACCUGCCCAGAAGGCCACAUUGGAGACACUGUUCAUCUGUGUUCCCCAACUGAUGUAGGUUCUACUUGCAGGAGGAAGGGCAAAAAUUGUCUAGCUUGUAUUGACAAGUAUCUUCAUCAUGUCCCUUGCUGAAAUAGAAUGGGCCACCUCUUGGGGAUACAUCCUGCAGUCCUCAGGAUGGCUACAAUCGGAGGACAAUAAGCUUCAUCUACCAGCUGCCAACCAAUGGAAAGUACUUAAAAGCCUUCACUAGGCCUUCCACCUAGGCCCAGGUUGGGAGGGACCCUACACUGUACUCCUUUCUACUCCUGUGGCAGUGAAGGUCACUGGAAUAGACUCUUGGAUUCAUUAUACCCAAGUAAAGACUUGGGAAGCCAACAGAGUCACCUCCGUUGACCCAGAAGAACACCCAAAGUACCAAUGUGAAGAGAUUGGGGACCUCAAGCUAAAAAUCACAAAAGACCUAGAAACCAUCAAACUCCAAAUGGUCAGGCAACCAGAGCCUCAGACAAUGGCUCCGCUUUGCUGGGGACCCUUAGAUAGACCUCUGAGAGGAAUCUGACUGCUAUUUUCCCCAAAACAAUGCUCCCUGUCAGCAGGAAGUAGCUAAGGUCAGUUGUCAUACAUAUUCUAACAGCAGUUAGAUGUACCUCUUCAGAGGGGGGAAAUGAGAUGGACAGGAGACGGGGAAAUACUGGGUAGAAGAAGGUGGCUCCCCGGCAAAGACCCCACCCUCAAGCCUGAAGACCUGCGGCCCUAAAUGAAGACAGGCUUUUCUGGUUUUGCACCCAAAAAGUUGCCUUUUGGACUGCCAUGUCCCCCCCGCCUAUCCUGCCCCUGUAUAAACCCAAGACCUUAGUGGGCACACACACAAGUGGCUGAAUGUUGGGACCAGCAGACCAGCGACAGUGGAACAACGCAGCAGAGAAAGAGAGAAGAGGAGUAACAUCUGGAUGCUGAGGGGAAUUCAGCUAGGGGCGGUCAGAGAAGAAUCUGGCCAUUGGGUGGCCUGACUCCAGGGGAAGACCACCUUACCACUCCAUCCACCCCCUUCUGACUCCCCAUCCAUCUCACUGAGAGCCACCUUCACCAUUCAAUAAAAUCUUGCACUCAUCUUUCGA
rnacentral:lncRNA from 1 species